CAAUUCCAUGGCUGUGAGCACAAAGGCCAAAUGAAGUGCCAACUUAGGCAACUGUCUGAUUAACCUAAUCCAUCUACACUGAGUCAGGAGAAUUCAGACUUUUUUGUUGCCUACCAGAAGCUUUUAGUCACGCUAGAUUAUUUCAACUAUCCUAUUUUCUACUUAUUUAUUCUUAGGACAGCCAUUUUCUAAUUUUCUGUGUUGAUGUGAUGGAUCUGUCCAAGGCUCUACUGCAAGGCCAAACCUUGUGACCAAACCAUAGCAUCUUGACAGAUUCAAUUAGGAUUUUGUGAGAAAAAAGUGAUAUAAUGCCUCUGAGGACCAGCCCACACAGUGACUGGAGUAGGUGGUCAAACAAUGAGAAUCUUUAGUCUAAAGUCAACAAGCAAGUUCCAUAUUACUGGCAUAAACGAUUAACUUGGACAAGAAUCCAAGAUAGAAAAAUAAUUAUGAAUAAGUCUGCGCCCAGGUUUAUUUGAACUUGUUGGGUUCAUUGAGUCUGGCACUGCAUACCAAAAUUAUGAUCAACAACUCAGGAAAAUACUCAACUUGAAAGAGAUUAGUGAAUGUGGACUCGAAAGGUCUAAGACAGAGAAAGAAGUUGCUGUAGAACACUUUUGCAAAACAGUGGUCUCCAAAGAGCCAUGAAACAGCUUGCUGAUUUUUGAAUUUCUGGGUUUAUUACAAAUGACUACAUAAAAGCCGUGUGGUAAGAAACGAACUUCUGGUAACAGAUGGUGGAAAAUCACCAGUAAGACCCAAACCUAACAGAGACUGCUUCUGGAGCCAUGGUUCUCACUAAGGGUUAUUAGCAUCAUUCUUUGAUGAUGGGCAUUGAGGCAUCAGAACUCAUGGAUAUCACAGUUCCUGUGUGGAGAGGAAGCUUCAGAUGGUGCUCUUGCACAGACGGGACUGCCAUUCCCAUUUUAGUGGAUCUCUUAAAAGUUCGAAUGGCUCCUCUAAUGCCUGAUGUGAAUGGAACCUUUCUCUCUGCUUCAGUCAAGAAUCUGGUGACAAAGAAGCUUCAUCCUUUCAAUCUUACAAUUUCAAUCUCCUAUCUCAAGAAAGCUCAUUUCUAUGUAUUACCAGUGCAUCCUCCACAUGCUCUUCUGCAGUUGUUCCUUCUGCGGGAAAUGAUCUCUCCUUUUGUCGAGGCUUGGUGAAAUCCUUUGAAAUUCUGUUGAUUCUGUAAGAGCCAACACAAAUACCAACUGCCCUGAAUACUUUCUGGCUAAACUGCCACAAUGAACGAGGAUUCCUCACCCAUGUCCCUCCCUUUCCCUUCCUUUCUUUUUAUAAUGGUAUGCUUAUUGUUUUUUAAUGUAACAUUUUUCUUACAAAAGGAAUACACAUUCAGUGUUAAAAUGGAAAUGUAGAAAAGUCUUCAGAAGAAAAUAAAAAUCACCUGCAAAUCCAUUUCCUGAAGUAAUUAUUUUUGCUAAUGUUUUAUUACAAUAUAGCUCAUCCUCUUUCGCUGCCUCUUCCUCUUCUCUCUCCCUUCCUCCCUCCUUCCUGUCCUUCCUCUGUCUCUCCUUCCCUUUUUCUCUCUCUCUCUGGUUGCAGCAUCUCUGUUUUUUCUCUGUUUUUUUUUUUAAUCAAAUGUAUCGAGGUGUGACUUACAUUCAAUAAAAUGCACAGUUAGAUGAAUUUUGAAAAAUGUCAUAAUUCAUAUUACCAACAUCUCAAUCAAGAUAUAUAAUGCCUCCAUCACCCCAAAAAGGGACGGAUGAUGGACUCACUCAUG
rnacentral:lncRNA from 1 species